AUUGAACCCUGGCGGCAGGCCUAACACAUGCAAGACGAGCGAGCGGCGGUCGGGCGAGAACUGUAUGGGGACUGCCCGAUAGAGGGGGAUAACUACUGGAAUCGGUAGCUAAUACCCCAUACUAUCGGAUAACCCAUAUGGUAUUAGCUAGUAGGUGAGGUAAUGGCUCACCUAGGCGACGAGCCCACGCUGGUCUGAGAGGAUGAUCAGCCACACUGGGACUGAGACACGGCCCAGACUCCUACGGAGGCAGCAGGGGGGAAUAUUGCACAAGGGGCGCAAGCCUGAUGCAGCCAUGCCGCGUGUAUGAAGAAGGCCCUAGGGUGGUAAAGUACUUUCAGUCGGGAGGCGUUACCGACAGAAGAAGCACCGGCUAACUCCGUGCCAGCAGCCGCGGUAAUUC
rnacentral:rRNA from 1 species